UAACGCGUGAAGUUGACCGCUGGGGAGUACGGCCGACAAGGUUAAAACUCAAAGGAAUUGACGGGGACCCGCACAAGCGGUGGAUGAUGUGGAUUAAUUCGAUGCAACGCGAAAACCUUACCUGCGCUUGACAUGCCAGGAACCCCGAAGAGAUUUGGGGGUGCCCGAAAGGGAGCCUGGACACAGGUGCUGCAUGGCUGUCGUCAGCUCGUGUCGUGAGAUGUUGGGUUAAGUCCCGCAACGAGCGCAACCCUUAUCCUUAGUUGCUACGCAAGGGCACUCUAAGGAGACUGCCGGUGACAAACCGGAGGAAGGUGGGGAUGACGUCAAGUCCUCAUGGCCCUUAUGCGCAGGGCUUCACACGUCAUACAAUGGUCGGUACAGAGGGUCGCCAACCCGCGAGGGGGAGCCAAUCCCAGAAAGCCGAUCGUAGUCCGGAUUGCAGUCUGCAACUCGACUGCAUGAAGUCGGAAUCGCUAGUAAUCGCGGAUCAGCAUGUCGCGGUGAAUACGUUCCCG
rnacentral:rRNA from 1 species